rnacentral:rRNA from 1 species
CGGACGGGUGAGUAAUGCUUGGGAAUCUGGCUUAUGGAGGGGGAUAACUACGGGAAACUGUAGCUAAUACCGCGUAAUAUCUUCGGAUUAAAGGGUGGGACUUUCGGGCCACCUGCCAUAAGAUGAGCCCAAGUGGGAUUAGGUAGUUGGUGGGGUAAAGGCCUACCAAGCCGACGAUCUCUAGCUGGUCUGAGAGGAUGACCAGCCACACUGGAACUGAGACGCGGUCCAGACUCCUACGGGAGGCAGCAGUGGGGAAUAUUGCACAAUGGGGGGAACCCUGAUGCAGCCAUGCCGCGUGAAUGAAGAAGGCCUUCGGGUUGUAAAGUUCUUUCGGUGAUGAGGAAGGCGGUUGUUUUAAUAGAACAAUCGAUUGACGUUAGUCACAGAAGAAGCACCGGCUAACUCCGUGCCAGCAGCCGCGGUAAUACGGAGGGUGCGAGCGUUAAUCGGAAUGACUGGGCGUAAAGGGCACGCAGGCGGUGACUUAAGUGAGAUGUGAAAGCCCCGAGCUUAACUUGGGAAUUGCAUUUCAUACUGGGUCGCUAGAGUAUUUUAGGGAGGGGUAGAAUUCCACGUGUAGCGGUGAAAUGCGUAGAGAUGUGGAGGAAUACCGAAGGCGAAGGCAGCCCCUUGGGAAUAUACUGACGCUCAUGUGCGAAAGCGUGGGGAGCAAACAGGAUUAGAUACCCUGGUAGUCCACGCUGUAAACGCUGUCGAUUUGGGGAUUGGGCUUUAAGCUUGGUGCCCGUAGCUAACGUGAUAAAUCGACCGCCUGGGGAGUACGGCCGCA